GGGCGAGUUCCGGAGUGGCCAAACGGGACAGAUUGUAAAUCUGUUGGCUUACGCCUUCGGGGGUUCGAAUCCCUCCUCGCCCA
rnacentral:tRNA from 1 species